GAAAAUGUUAGCUUAAUUACUUUAAGGGGAGUUCCCAGAAAAUGAAAUAAAGCUUCAAAAACACAAGAAAAAGGGUGACCAAGGAGGUAGUUAAUUUGUGUUUUUGUUGCAGAUUUGCAGUGGACUCCCAGAUGAAUGCAGGACCUUCAAGCAUCUGGAUGAACCAAACUAGUGCAGCUGCACGAUUCUCUUCCCGAUAUCUUGGCUGACAACCUCUGACCUUCCAAUCAUGUCAAACCAGAGAGCAGAGUGUUUCAGUCCUCCAUAAAGGGAUGCCGGACACGCUGACUUUGGAGAGUGAAUACUGGAAAAUCUCCUGCAGGAAAAGAAAAGCUGCGGUUUCCAAGAACCACUGGACUCUCAAAACAGUGAGUGUCAUGCGGACUUCCCUGCAGAUCACGAUCUCCUCUCUUCUGCUUCUCCGACUUCUGUAAUUCACUUCGCUUUCCCCUUCCUGAGUAAUUGAAGUAAUUUCCCACCUUGGCUAUGAUGAAUGUGUCCCGCACYGCCGCCGUGCCCUUCUACUUUAGUCGGCCUAAUUAAAGAAAACAUUCCAUGA